rnacentral:lncRNA from 1 species
GUGGGUUUGGUUCCAGACCACUGCAAUAAAGUAAAUAUCAGAAUAAAGUUCAUCCCAUUGUGGUCAGAGAAGAUGCUUGAUAUGAUUUUAAUCUUCUUAAGUUUGUUAAGACGUUUUAUGGCCUAAAAUAUGAUUUAUCCUGGAGAAUGUUCCACGUGUGCUUGAGAAGAAUGUGUAUUCUGCUAUUUUUGGAUGGAAUGUUCUGUAAAUGUCUGUUAAGUCCGACAUCUGUUCUAAUGUAUAGUUCAAGUCCACCAUUUCCUUGUUUAAUUUCUGUCUAGAUGAUCUAACCAAUGUUGAAAAUGGGGUAUUUAAGCCCCUUACUAUUAUUAUAUUGCUGUCUAUUUCUCCGUUCCUAGAUGUUAAUAUUUGCUGUAUACAUUUCAGUCUCUGAUGUUGGGUGUAUAUAUAUUUAUGAUUGAGAUUAUGUCUUCUUGAUGAACUGACCACCUUUAUCAUUAUAUAUUGACCUUUUAUGUUUCUUGUUACUAUUUUUGGCUUAAAGUGUAUCUGUCAGGUAUAAGUGUAGCUACCCCUCACACUUUUGGUUUCCACGUGCAUGGAAUAUCUUUUUCCACCCCUUAACUCUGAGCCUAUGCCUGUUCUUAAGCUGAAGCAAGACUCUUGUAGGCAGCAUCUAGUUGGGGCUUGUUUUUUGUCCAUCCAGCCCUUCUGUGCCUCUCGAUUGGUUAAUUCAACCCAUUGCAUUUAGAAUUGUUAUUGAUUUGUAAGGAAUUACUAGUGCCAUCUUGUUAAUAGUUUUCUGAUUGUUUUGUAUUUCCAUUAUUUCUCCCUGUAUUUCUGUGUCUCCCUUUGUAAAGUGGUGAUUUUCUGUGGUAGGGUCUCUCUUUCCCUUUUCUUUAUCUUUUGUGCUUUAACUCUAGGUUUUUGCCUAUGGUUACCAUGAGGCUUACACAAGACAUCUCUUAGACAACAGUCCAUUUUAAGCUGAUAGUAACUUAACUUUGUUCGCCUACAAAAGCUUCACCCUUUUAUUUUGAUGUCAUUAUUUACCUCACCU